rnacentral:rRNA from 1 species
GACGUAGGGCGCAAGCGUUGUCCGGAUUUAUUGGGCGUAAAGAGCUCGUAGGCGGCCUGUCGCGUCGACCGUGAAAACCCGCAGCUCAACUGCGGGCUUGCGGUCGAUACGGGCAGGCUGGAGUUCGGUAGGGGAGACUGGAAUUCCUGGUGUAGCGGUGAAGUGCGCAGAUAUCAGGAGGAACACCGGUGGCGAAGGCGGGUCUCUGGGCCGAUACUGACGCUGAGGAGCGAAAGCGUGGGGAGCGAACAGG